UGUUGCGGAUACAUCCCCUCGGCCGUAGGCGCCGCCGCCCCCUGCGGCACCCCCCUCGGCGCUCCCCCGCCGCCCACCACCACUCUACCCCGUGCCGUCCCCUGCGGCAGCCUCCCUACCCAACCUGCCGUCUUCCGCCGGCCACCCACCACUCUCCUCCACUGCCAUCCCCCGUGACAACCCCCGGCCCUGCCGUCCGCCGCCGGCCACCACCUAUGCAGCCUGGGUAACUAUGCCUGGCUGCGUUCCGGGGGAAAUAAUCUCGCGGGAGACGGAGGCGGGAGAAGAUUUGAUUUCCUUGUGUAAUCAGGGAAGAGAGAAGGCCGAUUUCGGAUUGUGCGACGAGGGCAGUCCAAAAGGAGUGAUUUUUAUUCGGAGAAGCUGUAAAUCCGGAUCCUCCUCCCUCUCCUCUGAAUAAUCUCCUCCCUUUUGGAGGAGAGCGGGCCGAGUCGGAGGUGGAGGGGCCGCCUAUAUCGAUCUAAUAAAUUGGCGUCCCCGAUUUGUUUUUCGCCGGCGAUUAGUCUGCUUUGUUGCGCCGGCCUAGAUAAACAGAGGAGGAGAACGGGGGAUUCGAAUAAGGCCAGCUCAGGCGUCCUCCGUUGUCACAGAUCCAAUAAGGUAGAUAUCCUAAGGUCAUUUGUUGAUCCUAUCAGCCAUGAAGAACAAAAGCGGUCGUCCCAGGAAAUCAGCUCUCAACGAAGCCGCUGCUGGCAACAAGAAUGGUCGUCGCAGGCAGAAUCUAAAAGCUACUCGCAACGAAGCCGCUGCUAGCAACGCAAGCGAAGACAGGCUUAGCAAGCUGCCCAAUGACCUUCUGCUCAACAUUCUGGAGAGGGUGGACACACUCGAUGCCAUAAGGACCUGCAUUCUCUCCAAGCAACUGCUGAAGCUUCCUACCAUGCUCUCACGCUUCUACCUAACUUUCAGCCGCAAGCAAGUGUUCAGAACCAACCGUGCUGUGGCUCAUGUAGCGGAUAACAUCUUGAGCACAAGGAGCCCGAAGGUUACCAUCAGCGAACUCAAAAUCAGAUUUGUCUUAUUGCCUGAUGUCUCCCUAACCAUUGGAAGAUUUGUUGCCCGUGCCAUGGCAACCCAGAAGGUUGGCACAGCUGAGUUUGAGAUUGUAACGAAAAAGCGUCAUGACCUCUGCUCUUCUGAUGACCUCCUCCAGUUUGGGAAGCAGUUGAAUGAUUUAUUUGGUGCUUGUCCGCGUGCAUUUGCUGGCCUUACGAGUCUGUGGCUGCAAAAUAUGAGGUUUGGUGAGCUAGACAUUCCCAACAUCCUCAGCACUUGCAAGCGCUUGGAGUAUUUGCGUUUAACCCGUUGUGACUCAGGGUUCCAUUCUGUGCUGCAAGUAGAACACGAUCAACUUGUUGAGAUCGAGGUCGACCAAGGGAAGUUUGAGAGAGUUGAGCUGAUAUGUCUACCAAAACUCCAACGGUUGACCUAUGAUAAUUGGUUCUCUUCUGAGGAUCCGUUGUAUUUCGGUUUCGUACCACAGCUUUCAAAGCUGAGCCUUGUUAAAACUGGCAUCCGUUCGGACAAGACUCUCGAGUUAAGUCAGCUCCUUGCUAAUGUUCCUUCCAUAGGCGAUCUGUGUCUGGAUUUUGGAAGUGAAAAGAUUUGGAUUCUACCAGAAUGCCCAAAACUGCUCAAGCCCGCGCUCAACAAACUACAGCAUGUGAAUCUGGAACAUCUUCCUGAAGGAUGUGAUUUAGCUUGGACAAUGUUUAUUCUUGAAGCUGCACCCUCCCUAAAAGAGCUGUGCAUCACAGUGUGGGAUCAUUGGUGCAUAAUGAUAACAAACAAAGAGUUACGGAAGAAAUAUUGUUUCUGCGAGAAGGCAGACGUGAAGUGGAAGCCAUAUGCCCUGAUUUCAAGCACAAGAAUCUGGCUAAGCUCACCAUCUACGGGUUCCAACCCGACGGCAAUUUUAUGCGAUACAUUAGGUGUAUUGUGGAACAUGCGGUUAAUAUAACAGAGAUAUCUCUGUACGACAGAAGGUGUGUGGGCGCUGUGAUGACUUGGAUCCUGAGAUCAAGGACAAUGUAUGUCCAUCAAGAUAUCCACCUACAGCUGAGGAGCGGAAGCAGAUAACAGAGGGGUUGGGUUUGGCUUCUGUUGCUGUGGUUCACUUCCGGUCCUAAUUGAAAAAAUGUAGCAGUUUCCUAGUCAUCUCUACUAUCAUCUUUUUUUUUUGAACUUGGAACUCCAUAAUUCGGUAGUAUUGUGUUUGUACUCUUGCUUUCCUUUCAAUUGAAGCUUUUAAACUAUUGGGAAGUAUUCUGGUGUUUGUGAUGUAUGGAAAUAAUAAUUGUGAACUAUUGAAAACAAGUUGACGUAAGUUCAUCUUUA